UAGGAUGACUUGUUUUUUAUCUUUUCCUUAUUAGUUUGGAACUCUGGAGACCAAUAAUUACCUGAAUAAGAUCCAAAGUACUAAUUUCUUAGACCAUAUUCAUUUGACCAUUUGGCUGUCUGCACUGGGACCAACCUUUAAAAUCAUAAUAAUUCCCAUAUCACUCAUCAGUACCUGAGUCCAGGCUUUCUGAAACCAUGCUUCUCUACAAAUACCUGCAUGUGCCUUCUGUGCUAACUUCAUCAGAACCUAAUGGAAAUAACUACCCAUUCGGUAGAAGACACAGUUGAUGACAACAAUCGUGAACACAGACAGCACUAAUUGGACUGAAAGGACUGCUCAUACCAAAGAGACAAGAAUAAAAAUAGAAAGAGGGAGAUAAAGCUUAGAGGUAUGUGCAGGACACUGGGUUGAGUUGAAGCCCGAUGUGGCAGAUAAAGACAACCAGCAUAUAUUGUAUUAAAUAUAUGAAACUUUAAAAAUAUUCACAAAUAUAUUCUACCAGAAGUGAUUCAAAAAUAUCAUUAGUAUAAGAUUCAUAAAAUCUCCAAUCAUUUGAUUUCUUUGUGAACAUGUCACAAUCAUGGAAUCGGUACUUUCUUUUCUUUUGUUCUUUCUUUCUACUUAUUCUUUAUUUAUAUUUAAUCACUUUACAUCCUGCUUAUUGUCACCACUCCCAGUCACCCCUUCCCAUAAUCCUUCACCUCUUUCCCCUUCCUCUUUUCCUCUGAGAAAAUGGGGACCUCCCCCUUGGUAUUCUCCCACCAUGGCACUCAAAGUCUCUGUGAGGCUAGGCAGAUCCUCUCCCACUGAGGCCAAGUAAGGCACCCCAGGUAGAGGAAUAUAUCCUACCUACAGUCAACAGCUUCUGGGAU
rnacentral:sRNA from 1 species